rnacentral:rRNA from 1 species
UACGUAGGGACCGAGCGUUGUCCGGAAUCAUUGGGCGUAAAGAGCGUGUAGGCGGCUCGCUAAGUCUUGCGUGAAAUCUCGGGGCUCAACCCCGAGCGGUCGUGAGAAACUGGCGGGCUAGAGUGCGGGAGAGGAGAGUGGAAUUCCUGGUGUAGCGGUGAAAUGCGCAGAUAUCAGGAAGAACACCGGUGGCGAAGGCGGGUCUCUGGGCCGAUACUGACGCUGAGGAGCGAAAGCGUGGGGAGCGAACAGG